rnacentral:rRNA from 1 species
ACACCCAUGCGAAGCAGCUCGCUGGCCUGCACUGACGCUGAGGCGCGAAAGCGUGGGGAGCAAACAGGAUUAGAUACCCUGGUAGUCCACCCCGUAAACGAUGAGUGCUAGGUGUAAGGGGUAUCGACCCCCCUUGUGCCGCAGCUAACGCAAUAAGCACUCCGCCUGGGGAGUACAGCCGCAAGGUUGAAACUCAAAGGAAUUGACGGGGGCCCGCACAAGCGGUGGAGCAUGUGCAUUAAUUCGUCACUAACCGAAGAACCUUACCAGGGUUUGACAUCUCUGGACAUCCCAUGAAAGUGGGCUUUCCCCGCAAGGGGACCAGAAGACAGGUGUUGCAUGGUUGUCGUCAGCUCGUGUCGUGAGAUGUUGGGUUAAGUCCCGCAACGAGCGCAACCCUCACCCAAUGUUGCCAGCGUCAAGUCGGGCACUCUUUGGGAACUGCCCGUGUAAGCGGGAGGAAGGUGGGGAUGACGUCAAAUCGGCAUGGCCCUUACAUCCUGGGCUUGACACAUGCUACAAUGGCCGUUAAACAGAGCGACGCAAUACCGCGAGGUGGAGCCAAUCGCAAAAAUACGGUCUCAGUUCAGAUUGCAGGCUGCAACUCGCCUGCAUGGAGUUGGAAUCGCUAGUAACCGCAGGUCAGCUAAACUGCGGUGAAUACGUUC